AGCGAACGCUGGCGGCAGGCCUAACACAUGCAAGUCGAGCGCUCGUGGCAAUACGGGAGCGGCAGACGGGAGAGUAACACGUGGGAACGUACCCUUCGGUUCGGAAUAACCCAGGGAAACUUGGCUAAUACCGGAUACGUCCGCAAGGAGAAAGAUUUAUUGCCGAAGGAUCGGCCCGCGUCCGAUUAGCUAGUUGGUGG
rnacentral:rRNA from 1 species